AUUGAACGCUGGCGGCAGGCCUAACACAUGCAAGUCGAGCGGAUGAAGGGAGCUUGCUCCUGGAUUCAGCGGCGGACGGGUGGGUAAUGCCUAGGAAUCUGCCUGGUAGUGGGGGAUAACGUCCGGAAACGGGCGCUAAUACCGCAUACGUCCUGAGGGAGAAAGUGGGGGAUCUUCGGACCUCACGCUAUCAGAUGAGCCUAGGUUGGAUUAGCUAGUUGGUGGGGUAAAGGCCUACCAAGGCGACGAUCCGUAACUGGUCUGAGAGGAUGAUCAGUCACACUGGAACUGAGACACGGUCCAGACUCCUACGGGAGGCAGCAGUGGGGAAUAUUGGACAAUGGGCGAAAGCCUGAUCCAGCCAUGCCGCGUGUGUGAAGAAGGUCUUCGGAUUGUAAAGCACUUUAAGUUGGGAGGAAGGGCAGUAAGUUAAUACCUUGCUGUUUUGACGUUACCAACAGAAUAAGCACCGGCUAACUUCGUG
rnacentral:rRNA from 1 species